GACGUAGGGCGCGAGCGUUGUCCGGAUUUAUUGGGCGUAAAGAGCUCGUAGGCGGCUUGUCGCGUCGUUCGUGAAAUCCCGCAGCUCAACUGCGGGCUUGCGGUCGAUACGGGGCAGGCUCGAGUUCGGUAGGGGAGACUGGAAUUCCUGGUGUAGCGGUGAAAUGCGUAGAUAUCAGGAGGAACACCGGUGGCGAAGGCGGCAUCCUGGACCAACACAUGACGGCUGGAGGAGCGGAAAGCCAGGGGAGCAAACGGG
rnacentral:rRNA from 1 species